AUUGAACGCUGGCGGCAGGCCUAACACAUGCAAGUCGAACGGUAACAGAAAGCAGCUUGCUGCUUUGCUGACGAGUGGCGGACGGGUGAGUAAUGUCUGGGAAACUGCCUGAUGGAGGGGGAUAACUACUGGAAACGGUAGCUAAUACCGCAUAACGUCGCAAGACCAAAGAGGGGGACCUUCGGGCCUCUUGCCAUCGGAUGUGCCCAGAUGGGAUUAGCUAGUAGGUGGGGUAACGGCUCACCUAGGCGACGAUCCCUAGCUGGUCUGAGAGGAUGACCAGCCACACUGGAACUGAGACACGGUCCAGACUCCUACGGGAGGCAGCAGUGGGAAUAUUGCACAAAGGGCGCAAGCCUGAUGCAGCCAUGCCGCGUGUAUGAAGAAGGCCUUCGGGUUGUAAAGUACUUUCAGCGGGGAGGAAGGGAGUAAAGUUAAUACCUUUGCUCAUUGACGUUACCCGCAGAAGAAGCACCGGCUAACUCCGUG
rnacentral:rRNA from 1 species